rnacentral:rRNA from 1 species
UACGUGAGGGGCGAACGUUGUUCGGUGUCACUGGGCUUAAAGGGUGCGUAGGUGGUUGUGUAAGUAACGUGUGAAAUCCCUCGGCUUACCCGGGGAAUUGCAUGUUAUACUGCAUGACUUGAGGGCUAAAGGGGAAAAGGGAACUCCAGGUGUAGCGGUGAAAUGCGCAGAUAUCUGGGGGAAGGCCGGCGGCGAAGGCGCUUUUCUGGGUUAGUACCUGACACUGAGGCACGAAAGCGUGGGGAGCAAACAGG